UUUCAUGCCAAGAGGGUUGGUGAAGUUUAGUUCGUCCAGCAGAAGCACAGGCAGGAGUUGAUUGAUCUUUGAAACCAGUGGAGCUAUAGAUGGGGAAAGAGCCCAUUGCCUCUUAAGUAUCUCUGAUUCCCAAUGGUAGAAGAGGUAAUUGAAGUGGCUAACUGCAGAACAGACGUUCCGUUCUGGUUUACUUUGGAUUCAAAACAAUGGAAAAUAAUGGUAAUCAUGUAAUCUCUACGUAACGAAGGACUAAGAACCUGCUACUGUAAAUUGUUACAAUGAUAACCAUGGGGUGAAAAUUGUAGGAACUGAUGUGAAAAUCUCAGCAGCAGAGAAAAGGCAAAUGAUUUGCAUGAAGACCAAAUAAAGACUGGCAUUUUAUAGCCCUAUAUGUUUUGGAUGAUUACUCCCAUAUUCCUAAACUGCUGAUCCUGCUGACUGAGGAUGAGGGGCGGUGUUGUCCAAAAUUUUGGGAAAGUGCCGAAGUUUUCAUACCAAAAUAAACACCACAGCAUCGGAGAAAGAUCUCGAUGGGCCCGUUCUAACAUAGUCGUUUGGAUAUAAGAAAUGUUAAGACAAGCUACAAGUCAUGAUCACUUCGGAACUGUAGUAUACAUGAAAAA